rnacentral:rRNA from 1 species
GACAUUUGGUAGAGACUGUUGGAGACACCUGGUCCUAGCAGACCCCAGAAAAACGGCCACAUUCGCUGGUGCUGGGGCAAGGUUGUCAAGGGUGAAGCCUGGUGCCAGAUGUGU